rnacentral:rRNA from 1 species
GAUGAACGCUGGCGGCGUGCCUAAUACAUGCAAGUCGAGCGAACGGACGAGAAGCUUGCUUCUCUGAUGUUAGCGGCGGACGGGUGAGUAACACGUGGAUAACCUACCUAUAAGACUGGGAUAACUUCGGGAAACCGGAGCUAAUACCGGAUAAUAUUUUGAACCGCAUGGUUCAAAAGUGAAAGACGGUCUUGCUGUCACUUAUAGAUGGAUCCGCGCUGCAUUAGCUAGUUGGUAAGGUAACGGCUUACCAAGGCAACGAUGCAUAGCCGACCUGAGAGGGUGAUCGGACACACUGGAACUGAGACACGGUCCAGACUCCUACGGGAGGCAGCAGUAGGGAAUCUUCCGCAAUGGGCGAAAGCCUGACGGAGCAACGCCGCGUGAGUGAUGAAGGUCUUCGGAUCGUAAAACGCUGUUAUUAGGGAAGAACAUAUGUGUAAGUAACUGUGCACAUCUUGACGGUACCUAAUCAGAAAGCCACGGCUAACUACGUG